rnacentral:tRNA from 1 species
GCCUGGGUGGCUCAGCUGGUUAAGCAUCUGACUUCAGCUCAGGUCAUGAUCUCACAGUUCGUGAGUUCAAGCCUCGCAUCAGGCU